UCUGCGGACCGGGCCCCUCUGGCGAGGGCUUCUACAAGCCCUCGUGAUGUCGGACCGCAUCG
rfam:Sphingomonas sp. 67-41 SCNpilot_cont_300_bf_scaffold_168, whole genome shotgun sequence.